AAUUAAAUAGAUUGCGUAUUGUGCAUGUGUAUCUCCUUAUUAAUUCUGAUCGAACGAGAAGCGCAUCUACGCUCGGAUUUAAAAUAUUCACAUACUAUAGUUAAGUAUGUAAUAUACAAAUUGACA